rnacentral:tRNA from 1 species
GGGGAUAUAGCUAAGUUGGUAGAGUGCCUGCCUUGCAUGCACACUGCCCUGGCUGGGUUCAAUCCCCAGCACCACCA